rnacentral:lncRNA from 1 species
GGUGAUCAAGUCAAUGAAUUCCAUAGAGUAAUAAAUUGAUUUGAUCAGCAAAAAUAGUCCUGCUUUCUUCUUUCUACUUUGGACCUCAAACUUUCAUCUCAUAGCUCAUGUGAAGUGACACAAGACAAUACUCUCAUGCUGGAUUCACUCUUUGUUGAUCAAACUCAAAGGAGGGUACACUGAAAAGGUUGCUAUAUAAACUGCAAUUCCUCCAUAUUCCACACUUAAGUCAGUUUCGUUCAGGUGACGUUUGGAGUACCCUUCUUCACAAUACACAGAAAAAUGACAAUGGACAUGGCUUUUUGCUUUUGUUAUACUUCCUGUCCCUGAUAGGUAUUUAUAAUAGAAUCUACCUAUGAUUUUGGGGAAAUUUUGGAUAAAUGUGAAAAUUGAUGUUGAACAAUAUGAUAACUGGGACCGUUCAGGGCUGUGCAGAACUCCUCAUGCUACAACAUGAUUAUGCAUCCUGGUGAGUACACUUGAAUGACCUAAAGGUUAAAUGUACUGUUUUAAGUUGGCUCUCCUUCUAUUGUUAAGUAAUUCAAUUUAUGCAUGCUCGUACUGAUUUACACUGGUCGCACGUGUCCUAUGAUGUAUUUAGAGCACUUCCCCAUUUGGUUUCUUUCUACUGCAUCUUUUCUUAGUUAUGUAACUAGUUAUCCUGAUGAUUGCCAGUACCAGUGGUUUCUAUAUUUUCCUUGGUUACGACCUUGUUCUUGGUCUG